rnacentral:tRNA from 1 species
GGCCAGUUAGCUGAGUUGGUUAAAGCAUAGUACUGAUAACACCAAAGUCGUGGGUUCAAUCCCCGUUCGGUCCC